AGAGUUACCUUCGUGGCAGUCCCAUAUUAAAUCCAAGUCUCCCACCAGCAAUGGAUACUAUUCCAGAGAGUAAAGUGUCGCCCACAAUAGAGGCAACUCUCUGCUCAAAAGGUGCAAGUUCAUCGACCCCUGUACCACUCCCAGUUCUGCCCACACUUUGUCAUUGCGCAGCGGUUCUCCGCUUAACUUCAACCUUUAUAUCAAGACCAUUUUUUUAAGUUAAUUUACAGUAUGAUGUUCAGAUUCCACUGGGUUGACAGCAGCAGCCAAACUCUCCCACUCAUUUUAUUUUGUUUGUUAUCAAAUCCGGAGGACAAAGUUCCAAAUAAAAUAUUUUUUUCUCCUUUCUACCUCCAAUAGUUGCACCUCCAAUUCAUUUUCUUUAAAGUUUCAUCUCUUUCUGCUUGCUUUUGUUAAAGUGGACUCAUUACCAUAUUAAAAUGUAUUUAAUUGAGGGAGGAGACAGGGUGGGGUGUAGUGCUCAUGCGUGUGCACUUAAUUUCAUGUUAAUUGGGAUGUACAAAGAGAAUAUGCGUGGCAUCCUGCAUACACACAGUCUGUCAGUACUGGUCACCAGAAGAAAAGACAGCGCUCUGUCAGUGAAGGCCACAGAGCAAAAGACAUGAUGGAGCUGGAUUUGGAUACAGAUCAACUUCAUGUUGAACGUACAUUAGGACUACAGUGGUACGUUGAGACUGACCAAUUUGGAUUUAAGGCCUCAGCACAAGAGCAACCACAGACAAGAAGAGGAAUUCUUUCGGUGGUCAGCUCCCUUUAUGACCCAUUGGGCUUCCUUGCUCCAUUCAGCAUGAUGGCUAAGUUGUUACUGCAGGAACUCUGUAAAAGAAACUUUGGAUGGGACGAAGAUAUUCCCCAUGUUCUCGCUAAGCAAUGGGCUGGUUGGUUGGAAGAUCUCCACAAGGUGGCAAAGUUCAAGAUUGAUCGUUGCAUUAAGCUUUAUGACUUUGGGCAACCCUGUCACUGUACAGCUUCACCACUUCUCUGAUGCCAGUGAGGUUGGGUAUGGAGCUGUCUCUUACUUAAGACUGGAAAGGGAUAAUAAAGUGCAUGUUGCAUUUAUGAUGGGGAAGGCCAGAGUUGCUCCGCUGAAGCAGACAACAAUUCCUCGCCUGGAGCUAACAGCUGCAGUCGUCGCUGUUAGAGUAGACCGCAUGCUACAGAAGGAGUUGCAACUUAGGCUGGAGAAGUCAGUUUUCUGGACUGACAGCACAACAGUCCUUAAAUAUAUAUAUCAAAUGAAAGCCGGCGAUUCUAUACCUUUGUGGCUAACAGAAUUGCAGUCAUCAGAGAGGCAACUGAUGUUGAUCAGUGGAGAUAUGUGGGGACAAAGGAAAACCCAGCAGAUGAAGCGUCAAGAGGUAGAUCUUCGGGUGAUUCCUGGUGCUGACCCUGAGAUCAAAAGGGACUUGACAGUGAAUGCUGUUGUUAAAGACACAGACAAUGCUAUGAGCCACCUGAUUCAUUACUUUUCAUCUUGGAAGAGAUUGCAGGUAGCUGUAGCUUGGCUUCUUAAGAUCAAGGAUACUCUUGUGUUAUUGGGACAUAGGAGAAAGGAGCUUUAUGCCUCUGCUGACCUCAGUAUGGAUAUUACAGACUAUCAUCAACAGGUGGAAAGCCAAAUGCAGUGCUUUAAGGCUACGCUCAAAGGACAGAGUCUGACACCUCAGGAUGUGACCAGGGCAGAGCUGUCAAUCAUCCGGUAUGUACAACAUCAACGGUUUAGGAUGAAAUUACCUCGCUGCAGAGUGGUAUAGUAUCCAAGGACAGUCACUGUACAGAUUGGUACCAGUGAUGGAUGGUGAGAUUCUCAGAGUGGGUGGUCGGUUAAGCAAAGCCUCACUGGCAGUGGAAUCCAAGCGUCCUGUUAUUCUGGCAAAAGAUUUGCAUGUAUCAACACUAAUUCUGCACCACAUUCAUCAGCAGAUAGGUCAUGCUGGAAGAAAUUAUAUGUUGUCCAGUUUAAUGCGGAAGUAUUGGAUUAUAAAUGCAAACUCUGCUGCCAGAAAGGUCAUAUCAGAUUGUGUUGUUUGCAGACGCAACAGAGAAAGACUCCUUGAACAAAAAAUGGCGGACUUACCUGCUGAAAGAGUGUUGCCUGAUGAAGCCCCUUUCACUCAUGUUGGCAUCAAUUAUUUUGGGCCCAUUGAAGUUAAAAGAGGCAGAGGUCUUCUCAAAAGAUACGGAGUGCUCUUCACCUGCAUGACCAGUCGUG
rnacentral:lncRNA from 1 species